rnacentral:lncRNA from 12 species
GUGUGUGUGUGUACCUACUUAACCAUAUUUUGAGGACAAAUUUGUACCCAAAAGUGAGCUAAACCUGACAAAAUCUCCAAAAACCUCCCUUUGGGGAUGUCCUCAUUUGUAAAACUGGUUUAAAAAUAAAGUAAACAAAGGGGUUUUUUUGUUGUUUGUUUUUUGAGAUGCAGUAAGUUGCAGUAAAUGCAGUAAGUUUUCUGUAAGGUGUGGGGUUGUGUGUGUGUGUGUGUGUGUGUGUGUGUGUGUGUGUGUGUGUGUGUGUGUGUGUGUGUGUGUGAAAGGCACCAUCUGCUUGCUGUGACAGUAAUGAAGUGAGGGAGAUUGCAGGACAAUGGCUCAGUCUCUGUGAAUGAAGCGGUGGGCGUCUCAGCUGUAUUUCUCCUGCUCUGCUCAGGAUGGCUUCACUCUGUCUCUCUGUGCUGGCAUCUCUCAAACACAUCCAGCUACAGGUGAAAAUCGUGAGUCUGAUCAUUUAGGAAAAUUACAACACCUCUGUCCUCGACAAGCCACACGGUUAGUGGCAUCAUUCCUUGACGCUUAUAAAAGAAAGAUCAGGUCAUGUAACGUCAACUGCACAUUUGCUUUUCUCAUUCAGAGCUCAUUCAGAGAGUGAAGAACGACGUCAACUGACUGUCAAACUCCAGCAAACCGAAUGCUCAGGAUAUCAAUUCUCACAAGAGAGGUGCUGAGUGACACCUGCGCCUGAAGCAAAACAAACAGCUACACUGGCUCUUUAAUGCCAAUAUAAUAACAGCCUAUAAGAGUCGAAUCAAUGGCUGUCUGUGCCAAAUCCACAGUAAAGUGAAAUUUACAUAGAGAUCUCAACUGCUUCAUGUGUAAUGUGAUUCUGUUAGUUCACAAGAAAGGGGAACAAUCACUUUUGGCAGUAGUUGACAGCAUGAGCAGUUUGCAUCAGUCAGCAGUUCAGUUAAAUGAUGAAGACAUUUGCAAAUAUUAUUCAUAAAUAUGCAAAGUACCUUUGAGUGACAGUUAUUUUCAUAUAUAGUGGGCUGUUCAUAAGUUUGUGAGGGUUUAUUUAUUUAUUUAUUUAUACAUACAUUCCAUAGUUUAAAAGUAAUACAUUAUAUAUUGUUUAAAAGUUUGUGCUCAGUAAGACCUUUAAUAUUUCAUAAAUUAAUACUUUUAUUAGGCAAGAAUGCAUUCAAUUCAUCGAAAGUGACAGUAAAGACAUUUAUAAUUUUACAAAAGUUUUCUAUUUCAAAUAAAAGUUUUUCAAUUUUCAAAGAAUCCUGAAAAAAAUGACUAUUAAUUGUUAAAUUAUUAUCAUUAUUAAUAAAAUAUUGCUUUGUCAUUUAAUAUUAUUAUUAUUAAUACUGAUUAAUAUUAUGAUUAAUAUUAAUAAACAUUAAGCAUUAUAUUAAGCAUUAUUCCA